rnacentral:rRNA from 1 species
GGUUGAUCCUGCCAGUAGUCAUAUGCUUGUCUCAAAGAUUAAGCCAUGCAUGUCUAAGUAUAAGCUUUUAUACAGUGAAACUGCGAAUGGCUCAUUAUAUCAGUUAUUGUUUAUUUGAUGGUACCUUUACUACUUGGAUAACCGUGGUAAUUCUAGAGCUAAUACAUGCAUCAAGCCCCGACUUCUGGUAGGGGUGUAUUUAUUAGAUAAAAGCCAACCCGGGCAACCGGUCCUUUGGUGAUUCAUAAUAACUUUUCGGAUCGCUCUCGUAGCGAUGGUUCAUUCAAAUUU